AUUGAACGCUGGCGGCAUGCCUUACACAUGCAAGUCGAACGGUAACGGGCCUUCGGGUGCCGACGAGUGGCGAACGGGUGAGUAAUACAUCGGAACGUGCCCGAUCGUGGGGGAUAACGAGGCGAAAGCUUUGCUAAUACCGCAUACGAUCUACGGAUGAAAGCAGGGGACCGCAAGGCCUUGCGCGGACGGAGCGGCCGAUGGCCGCUUCGGUAGUUGGUGGGAUAAAAGCUUACCAAGCCGACGAUCUGUAGCUGGUCUGAGAGGAUGAUCAGCCACACUGGGACUGAGACACGGCCCAGACUCCUACGGGAGGCAGCAGUGGGGAAUUUUGGACAAUGGGCGGAAGCCUGAUCCAGCCAUGCCGCGUGCAGGAUGAAGGCCUUCGGGGUGUAAACUGCUUUUGUACGGAACGAAAAGCCUUCUUUUAAUACAGGGGGGUCAUGACGGUACCGUAAGAAUAAGCACCGGCUAACUACGUG
rnacentral:rRNA from 1 species